GAGAGAUAAUUAGAGGCAUGGAAGAAGAAGAAGAACUUAUGUUCAACUUUCCAUUUUCGCACCUAUAGGACAGCCUUCACCAAAAAGCUUCUGUUUUGAAGGAGAAAACUGACCUUGAAGUUGUGUCAGUUAUGCAGAAUGUGUGUCAAAGAUUGGUUACGGGUUUGAUCAUGUUAGAGGUGAAGUUUUGGCAUCAAUGGAAGUUCAAUGGCUGCAUGAUCAUCAUCUCAACCUUCUUUUAGCAAGGUGCAGUUAGUAGCGUUUGGUCAGUAACAGGUUUGGACUGAAGACUUGGAAGUGGUGUUGGCUCGAAGACCUCGUUGGUUUUGACAUUCCGCUGUGCAAGAUCCAUUGAAGACACAUGUUUUGUAAUUAUUAUUAUUAUUUCAUGUUGUAUUCUAAAUGGAUCAUCUUGUAUCCAUAGCUUUUGUAUGUACUCAAUAUCAAUUUUAACGUUUCAUGCAUAA